AUUGAACGCUGGCGGCAUGCCUUACACAUGCAAGUCGAACGGCAGCACGGGUGCUUGCACCUGGCGGCGAGUGGCGAACGGGUGAGUAAUAUAUCGGAACGUACCUUAUUGUGGGGAUAACGCAGCGAAAGCUGUGCUAAUACCGCAUAAUCCCUAAGGGGGAAAGCGGGGGACCGUAAGGCCUCGCGCAGUUAGAGCGGCCGAUACCUGAUUAGCUAGUUGGUGAGGUAAAGGCUCACCAAGGCAACGAUAAGUAGCUGUCUGAGAGGACGAUCAGCCACACUGGGACUGAGACACGGCCCAGACCCCUACGGGAGGCAGCAGUGGGGAAUUUUGGACAAUGGGGGCAACCCUGAUCCAGCAAUGCCGCGUGAGUGAAGAAGGCCUUCGGGUUGUAAAGCUCUUUUGUCAGGGAAGAAACAGCAGCUCUAACACAGUUUGCGAAUGACGGUACCUGAAGAAUAAGCACCGGUUAACUACGUGCCAGCCGCCGCCGUAAGAC
rnacentral:rRNA from 1 species